rnacentral:rRNA from 1 species
GACGAACGCUGGCGGCGUGCUUAACACAUGCAAGUCGAACGGAAAGGCCCUGCUUGUAUCGUACUCGAGUGGCCAACGGGUGAGUAAACAGUUGGUGAACUGCCCUGCACUUCGGGCUUAGCUUGGGAAAACGGGUGCAAUACCGGCUAGGUGCCACUUUUCGUGUUAUGGAUGGUUAGUAUGUUUUGUGUAGGUUGAGCUCGCGGUCUAUCAGCUUGUUGGUGGGGUAAUGGCCUAGCAAGGCGGCGACGUGGACCGAGCCUGGGAGGGUGGACUGCGACAUUGGGACUGAGAUACGGCCCAGACUCCUACGGGAGGCAGCAGGUGUGAAUAUUGCACAAUUGGCGCAAGCCGGAUGCAUCAACGCCGCGUGGGGUAUGACGGCCUUCGGGUUGUAAACUCCUAUCACUAGGGAAGAAGCGUUAUGUGACGGUACCUAGAUAAGAAGCACCGGCUAACUACGUG